rnacentral:rRNA from 1 species
UACGUAGGGUGCAAGCGUUAAUCGGAAUCACUGGGCGUAAAGCGCACGUAGGCGGCUUCUUAAGUCAGGGGUGAAAUCCUGGAGCUCAACUCCAGAACUGCCUUCGAUACUGGAGAUCUUGAGACCGGAAGAGGUAAGUGGAACUGCGAGUGUAGAGGUGAAAUUCGUAGAUAUUAGGAAGAACACCAGUGGCGAAGGCGGCUUGCCAGAAUGCGCUCGACGGUGAGGGAUGAAAGCUGGGGAGCAAACCGGG